AGCAGCCGCGGUAAUUCCAGCUCCAAUAGCGUAUAUUAAAGUUGUUGCAGUUAAAAAGCUCGUAGUUGAAUUUCGGGGUUCUACCGUUGGUCGGGCUUUGUCUGUACUGGCGUGUAGAAUUUCUACCUUCUGGGGAACUAUCAUGUUAUUAAUUUAGCGUGGUAGGAAACCAGGACCUUUACCUUGAAAAAAUUAGAGUGUUCAAAGCAGGCUUAUGUCUGAAUACAUUAGCAUGGAAUAAUAAAAUAGGACGGUGGUCCUGUUUUGUUGGUUUCUGAAUCACCGUAAUGAUUAAUAGGGAUAGUUGGGGGCAUUAGUAUUCAAUUGUCAGAGGUGAAAUUCUUGGAUUUAUUGAAGACUAACUACUGCGAAAGCAUUUGCCAAGGAUGUUUUCAUUAAUCAAGACGAAAGUUAGGGGAUCGAAGACGAUCAGAUACCGUCGUAGUCUUAACCAUAAACUAUGCCGACUAGGGAUCGGACGAUGUUAACUUUUCUGACUCGUUCGGCGCCUUACGGGAAC
rnacentral:rRNA from 1 species